CGGACGGGUGAGUAAUGUCUGGAACUGCCCGAGUGGAGGGGAUAACUACUGGAAACGGUAGCUAAUACCGCAUAACGUCGCAAGACCAAAGAGGGGACCUUAGGGCCUCUUGCCAUCGGAUGUGCCCAGAUGGGAUUAGCUAGUAGGUGGGGUAAUGGCUCACCUAGGCGACGAUCCCUAGCUGGUCUGAGAGGAUGACCAGCCACACUGGAACUGAGACACGGUCCAG
rnacentral:rRNA from 1 species